rnacentral:rRNA from 1 species
UAGGGCGUUUAGUAUUUGGUCGUAGACCCGAAACCAGGUGAUCUACCCUUGGUCAGGUUGAAGUUCAGGUAACACUGAAUGGAGGACCGAACCGACUUACGUUGAAAAGUGAGCGGAUGAACUGAGGGUAGCGGAGAAAUUCCAAUCGAACCUGGAGAUAGCUGGUUCUCUCCGAAAUAGCUUUAGGGCUAGCCUCAAGUGAUGAUUAUUGGAGGUAGAGCACUGUUUGGACGAGGGGCCCCUCUCGGGUUACCGAAUUCAGACAAACUCCGAAUGCCAAUUAAUUUAACUUGGGAGUCAGAACAUGGGUGAUAAGGUCCGUGUUCGAAAGGGAAACAGCCCAGACCACCAGCUAAGGUCCCAAAAUAUAUGUUAAGUGGAAAAGGAUGUGGCGUUGCCCAGACAACUAGGAUGUUGGCUUAGAAGCAGCCAUCAUUUAAAGAGUGCGUAAUAGCUCACUAGUCGAGUGACACUGCGCCGAAAAUGUACCGGGGCUAAACAUAUUACCGAAGCUGUGGAUUGUCCUUUGGACAAUGGUAGGAGAGCGUUCUAAGGGCGUUGAAGCAUGAUCGUAAGGACAUGUGGAGCGCUUAGAAGUGAGAAUGCCGGUGUGAGUAGCGAAAGACGGGUGAGAAUCCCGUCCACCGAUUGACUAAGGUUUCCAGAGGAAGGCUCGUCCGCUCUGGGUUAGUCGGGUCCUAAGCUGAGGCCGACAGGCGUAGGCGAUGGAUAACAGGUUGAUAUUCCUGUACCACCUAUAAUCGUUUUAAUCGAUGGGGGGACGCAGUAGGAUAGGCGAAGCGUGCGAUUGGAUUGCACGUCUAAGCAGUAAGGCUGAGUAUUAGGCAAAUCCGGUACUCGUUAAGGCUGAGCUGUGAUGGGGAGAAGACAUUGUGUCUUCGAGUCGUUGAUUUCACACUGCCGAGAAAAGCCUCUAGAUAGAAAAUAGGUGCCCGUACCGCAAACCGACACAGGUAGUCAAGAUGAGAAUUCUAAGGUGAGCGAGCGAACUCUCGUUAAGGAACUCGGCAAAAUGACCCCGUAACUUCGGGAGAAGGGGUGCUCUUUAGGGUUAACGCCCAGAAGAGCCGCAGUGAAUAGGCCCAAGCGACUGUUUAUCAAAAACACAGGUCUCUGCUAAACCGUAAGGUGAUGUAUAGGGGCUGACGCCUGCCCGGUGCUGGAAGGUUAAGAGGAGUGGUUAGCUUCUGCGAAGCUACGAAUCGAAGCCCCAGUAAACGGCGGCCGUAACUAUAACGGUCCUAAGGUAGCGAAAUUCCUUGUCGGGUAAGUUCCGACCCGCACGAAAGGCGUAACGAUUUGGGCACUGUCUCAACGAGAGACUCGGUGAAAUCAUAGUACCUGUGAAGAUGCAGGUUACCCGCGACAGGACGGAAAGACCCCGUGGAGCUUUACUGUAGCCUGAUAUUGAAAUUCGGCACAGCUUGUACAGGAUAGGUAGGAGCCUUUGAAACGUGAGCGCUAGCUUACGUGGAGGCGCUGGUGGGAUACUACCCUAGCUGUGUUGGCUUUCUAACCCGCACCACUUAUCGUGGUGGGAGACAGUGUCAGGCGGGCAGUUUGACUGGGGCGGUCGCCUCCUAAAAGGUAACGGAGGCGCUCAAAGGUUCCCUCAGAAUGGUUGGAAAUCAUUCAUAGAGUGUAAAGGCAUAAGGGAGCUUGACUGCGAGACCUACAAGUCGAGCAGGGUCGAAAGACGGACUUAGUGAUCCGGUGGUUCCGCAUGGAAGGGCCAUCGCUCAACGGAUAAAAGCUACCCCGGGGAUAACAGGCUUAUCUCCCCCAAGAGUUCACAUCGACGGGGAGGUUUGGCACCUCGAUGUCGGCUCAUCGCAUCCUGGGGCUGUAGUCGGUCCCAAGGGUUGGGCUGUUCGCCCAUUAAAGCGGUACGCGAGCUGGGUUCAGAACGUCGUGAGACAGUUCGGUCCCUAUCCGUCGUGGGCGUAGGAAAUUUGAGAGGAGCUGUCCUUAGUACGAGAGGACCGGGAUGGACAUACCUCUGGUGUACCAGUUGUCGUGCCAACGGCAUAGCUGGGUAGCUAUGUGUGGACGGGAUAAGUGCUGAAAGCAUCUAAGCAUGAAGCCCCCCUCAAGAUGAGAUUUCCCAACUUCGGUUAUAAGAUCCCUCAAAGAUGAUGAGGUUAAUAGGUUCGAGGUGGAAGCAUGGUGACAUGUGGAGCUGACGAAUACUAAUCGAUCGAAGACUUAAUCAA